UUCUGAAGAAAGAAACCUUGAACACUUCUGAAACACGUAAAACAGAGGAGAAAGAGUGAGAGAAACUUUCCCCUUGCACCCUAGCCGUCACCGUCCCAAGCCCCACCACCGUCGACGUGUUCGCGCAAGGGAGAGAAGGAGUUUGCGAGUGAGAGGGAGAGAGGAAGGUCACGCGUGGGAGAAGAGGAGAGAAACCAGAACCUUGCUCUUCACUUUCAUCUUUUCUUCAAGCCUAAGGACAAAGAUGGUCGUGAAGAUAAUGGAGAUGACUCAUUCUUGGGAGUUGAUGCUACGUGACGUGCCAAUACUGGAGGACGACUACACUUCAGAGGAAGAGGAAGAGGCUAAGGAAUAGGGUUUGGGUUGAGAGUCUUUUGUUUUCUGUUGGGGUUGAGAGUUUCCGAAGUGUUGGUAUCGAACAAUUUUAUUGCUUAAAUUCGAAUGAACAAGUUUUGAUGUAAUCUUUAUUUUCAUUCAGGCCUUUGUUUCGUACU